CGUAAGAUAGGACAAGAGUACUUUCAGAGUAAUUACAUUUCCUGUUGAUUUUAGAUGGGUGCCUGCAACUCAGUCUUUAAUUUAGGAUAUAUUGUUCACAUACUUAUAUUCUUUUUCCAUAUCAACAUGAUCUGUCCUAGUUUUUAAAUAGGGCAUUCUUUCCUCCCAGUGAAUAUAUAUUGGAAUUCCAGUGAGAUUUCAAUUUUUUGUACACCAAGGGCUUGUCAAAACACUGCAACUCAUCACUUGAACACUCCGUUUACAUGAGACUCCCUGAGAAUAAAAGAGAAGGAAUUUUCCCUGGGUGAAAAUGAUAGAAUUAAUCUCAAUCCAUUAAAAAUUCUCUUUAGCUCCAUUCAGAGUUGAUGCCUUUUGGGUUAAAGGAUACAAGAUGAAAAUGUUCUUCAGUUAAAAAAUACUUUUAGGAUGUGCUGUUUCAGAAUAAAGUUUUGACUAGGAUUUUCUUGUUUCAAAGAUUAUGAUUGGGUGCUCUCCUUUUCUGCCAAUGUAAAAGUGUCUUUACACACUAAUGAUAAUGAUCUCAUACUGCUACUUAAAAAAAAAUAAUUGGGAAGUUGGGGGCGCCUUGGUGGCAUAGUUGAUCAGGCAUCAGACUUUUGAUCUCCGCUCAGGUCAUGAUCUCUUGGUUCCUGAGUUCAAGCCCUGUAUGGGGCUGUGCAUUGAUGGCACAGAGCCUGCUUGGGAUUCUUUCUGUCCUUCUCUCUGCCCCUCCCCUGCUUGCAUACGCACAUGCACUCUCUUUCUUUCUCUCUCUCAAAAUAAAUAAUAAAAAUUUUAAAUAAUUGGGAAUUUGGUCUAAGUUACAUUUACUUGAAAAGGGGAGUGAUUUGCCUUUUCAGGUUACAGUAAGACAGGAAAUCUCCGCAGAACAGUGGAGAAAGGCACAUAAAGUUGUGUGUUCAAAUCCAUAUCUGCAUUGUUUUUAGGAAGACAAAACAGUAAAGGAAAUUUUGUAGAUUCAAGAGUAAACAAUAUGUACUACUGGGCUAGUAAGACUUGUUUAAGCCCCCACACUCUAGCAAAGGCAGAAUCUACAAGCAGGAACCUACUUGUAGGGGGUUGAAGGAAGCAGGUCCAAAUUCAGACAGAACAAAACCUAAUCUGGCUUGAAAACACAGUCGACAUCCUGUCUCUGACAAACACCACAGGCCAGACAUCGGCUGAAUCAGUCCUCCUGGCAUCUCGUCUGAAUGUUUGUGGAUUUUAAAACCCUGCAGAGGGUUAUCAAUCUAAUGACAUUUAUUUUAAAAUGCAAUUAAGCAAUAGAAACACAAUCAAUCUGGCAUCAUCACCAGGUCAGGAAACAGGUUGUUUUGUUAGGAAGUAAAUUUUCACACCACUGGAUGGUGUUCUGAUUUUAAAACUUGAACUUAAUUCAGCCUUGCAAAUAAUAGCCCUGAGUCUUGUUUUUACAACAUAUGUUCCUCCUAGCAAGUGCACUGGUUCUAAUAUUAUUGACAUUUCACUAAUUUAUUAACUGGUAUUGUGAAAAAAAAUCAAUACUCUCGUCUCUUCUAAUUACUAUAAUGGGGUUAUCUUACAUCUUAAAGCUUUUUGAAACUGUGUGACUAAGUUUUUGUAUCAUGUUAAGCUCCCCGCCCCCCUCCCCUCUUUCACCUUCAGUGUGAUAUCUCUGCACUAACUGGAGACACUGUCAAUUUAAAAUCCAUUUUGAAAACACUCUGUAAGUAUAGGAUAGCACAGAAUGUGGUAGGUACAUUACCCGACCUUUGACAUAGAAUCACCUUAGAAAUAAAUGCAGCUAUAAAUCUUGUUGGCCUAUUUCUUUCUACCUAAGAGUUCUGUGAAAUACCAUUAUUUCUCUCCUUGGGGUCUGACAUCUCAGCAUCCUUAAAAAGCAAUUAGCAUUUGCCACCUCAGUUCUACAUCUUCAGGACAACUUAAAGAAUGGGAUGAAAAUUCACAUGGCUAGAAUAUGUACCCUUAGCAUAAAAAACUUUUACAUCAUGCCCCAAAGCCAUGACAAUUGUGUCAAGUUUUACAUUUAAUCAUGGCAGCACAUCACCUGGCCAGGAUUUGUGAACGCUAAGGGCAUUUUUAAGUUGGGUCCAUCAAAGAAAUGUUUGUCAAGCACCACUCCUCUGGGCCAGCCCUGGACAGACUAGGAAUUGGGGACAGAAGCGGACGAUACCCUCAGGGAGCCCAGAUCUGAUGGAAGACUCGAAGGUAAGAAAUGAUCAUUCAGAUUGGCAACGCCUCUUAGAAGAGGUCUAUGCCAAGUGCUAGCAAGCUAUAGGUGGAGAGCAUCACCCAGGUUUUGUUUGAGCUGGUCUCAAAUGAUGAAGGACUCCAGGCAACCAUAAAGAAAAGUCACAAAAGGCAGAAAACAAAUAUGCACAUAGGACCCGGAGUACAAAAGAAUAUGGUAUAUGGUGAGACUAGAAGGCAGUUCUGUGAGGAUGGAGUAUUAUGUUUUGAGGCAGACAGUUGCAGGGAAUGACAUGCAGGAAAGCAGCUGGUGUGUAGAGGGACUGAGUCACCUGUAUCUUUGUGUCUGUAGCAAAGGGCCUGGCAAAUACUAGGUUCUCAGAAAAUGUGCAUGGAUUGACUGGAGUAUAAUACCUCACAUACUAAAGGCUCCUAAACUUACCUAGAACACAUUAUGUACACAUAAUAACAAAAUUCCGCAUCAACAGACUUAGCAAGUAGAACUGUAUUCUUCCAGACAAAACCUCUAAAAGUUAUGAACUGCCUAGAAAGGCAAUUUUUUUUUACCCUGAUGUCACAGGUUUCAAAACUAUGCCGUAGUUAUUACAUAAAACUCUUAAAACUGGCAAUCAAUGCUAUAUCUGCAUUUGUGUAAUUAACUAAGAUGUCUUUUGAUGAGCUAACCCUGUGUAUAAAAUCAACAAAGUUUUAUGCCCACUUCUUUCCUUUUAUGGACUACUGAUACCCUAUUUGUGUUUCAAAGGGCACAUGAACUUCAAAUUUACCACUGGAAAUGGAUCCUAUGCACUUGCUUAAGUAGUUAGCACUUCUAAUUUGGUAAAAACAAAAAUAUUAUCAAUUUCAUUGUUUUAUGAUUAUUAAGUGCUUUUAAAUUUUUUUUUAAAUUUUUUAGAGACUGGCAUUUAGGACAGAUUUUGUCUUUUAGGCCUCAAGUAUCAUUUGCAUUUAAAAAGAAAACAGUAUAUCCUAAACCAAAGUCAGUUAAUCUGUACAAUCUUUCUUCUUCCCAAUUACUGGAAUGAGCAUCCUCUCAGGACUCAAGUGACGGUGACUCUUAUUUCUGCCUUCUAAAGACAUGUCUCAGCUUCGCAGAUUUUUUUUUUUUUGGCUGUACAAUGGAACUUGGAUGCAUUUUAAAUUAACUUUCUCUAGGAAUCAAAGAGUAACCUCUGAGGACCCCAGCUUGCACUAAGAGGACUGAGCAAAUGUGUCCAAAGCCUGUUCUUGCUGAAGUGACCCAAACACUUAGAAGAACAUGACAAGAAUCAGCAAUCCCACUUCACGUGAAAAGUGCAAGCACACCUGGCCAUGUGCACAGGCAUACAGUCAGGCGGUGGUCCAAGGCAAGUAUCAUUUCACAUCCUUCUAAGUGUCCUGAGGAAGCUUUGCUACCCAGCCCACCAAUGAAUGUAAUGAAGAGACCUUCUCCAGUUUCCAGGACAAGCUUAGUCCCUAGGUGGUCCUCCUCACAUACCGUCAAUGUCCUCUCAAUAUUCCAAAACCAUGAGAAAUUACACUAAGGAAGUCUUCAGACCUUAGCCCAUUAGAACCUUUUCUAGGGGCUUUAUUUAGGAAAGAUAUCAAUACCAUCAAAUUGAGAAAGAGAUCCCUACUAUGACCUACUGUGAUGUGACCCUUUCAAAUCCAUUCCCUCCCUGGGUAGUGGGUUCUCAGUGCAUCCUGGGUAAAGAGGCAGGUACUAUAGCAUCACUGGGGGCUCCUACCUAACUCCCCUACAAAGUAAAAGGAAGUGAAAUAGAGGGUCAGCAUGUGAUACCCUGCCUCAUUUAUGCCAAGUGGGUAAAAUGCUGACCCUUUAGAAAAGAUCAUCUCUCUGUGCCUCAGUUUCCUCAUCUGUAAAACAUAACCUCAUAGGGUAGUUGUGAAGACUACAUAAAAGUAAAGCACUUAGAACUGAGUUUGGCACAGUAGUUAUUCAAAUGUUAACUAUCAUUGUUGUUAUUAGGUCACUUAACAUUAACUGAAUUUUUCUAUUUGUGUUUCCUCUAGGAAAGAAUUUGGAGAUUCCAAUCUGAUCCUUUUCCAUGUGAUCUCUUGUACCCAUUCUAUUUCUGUACCACAUGUAAUAAAGUUUGAGAGUGCAAGUAAUCCAUCUGUAUCUGAUUUUUGUCUGGAAAAACUUGCAGGAUUUUCAGAUUGAGUAUCAAUACAUCUCCUGUCUUGUCUUUCACCUGUUCAGUAUUGAUCAUUUCUGGAGCAAUGGUGUCUUAAAGCCAAAA